UUAUUGGAGAGUUUGAUCCUGGCUCAGGAUGAACGCUGGCGGCGUGCCUAAUACAUGCAAGUCGAGCGAAUGGAUUAAGAGCUUGCUCUUAUGAAGUUAGCGGCGGACGGGUGAGUAACACGUGGGUAACCUGCCCAUAAGACUGGGAUAACUCCGGGAAACCGGGGCUA
rnacentral:rRNA from 2 species